rnacentral:rRNA from 1 species
AGAGUUUGAUCCUGGCUCAGGACGAACGCUGGCGGCGUGCUUAAUACAUGCAAGUAGAACGCUGAAGGAGGAGCUUGCUUCUCCGGAUGAGUUGCGAACGGGUGAGUAACGCGUAGGUAACCUGCCUCUUAGCGGGGGAUAACUAUUGGAAACGAUAGCUAAUACCGUAUAAAAGUCGACAUUGCAUGAUGUUGACUUGAAAGGUGCAAUUGCAUCACUAAGAGGUGGACCUGCGUUGUAUUAGCUAGUUGGUGAGGUAACGGCUCACCAAGGCAACGAUACAUAGCCGACCUGAGAGGGUGAUCGGCCACACUGGGACUGAGACACGGCCCAGACUCCUACGGGAGGCAGCAGUAGGGAAUCUUCGGCAAUGGGGGCAACCCUGACCGAGCAACGCCGCGUGAGUGAAGAAGGUUUUCGGAUCGUAAAGCUCUGUUGUAAGAGAAGAACGAGUGUGAGAGUGGAAAGUUCACACUGUGACGGUAGCUUACCAGAAAGGGACGGCUAACUACGUGCCAGCAGCCGCGGUAAUACGUAGGUCCCGAGCGUUGUCCGGAUUUAUUGGGCGUAAAGCGAGCGCAGGCGGUUUGAUAAGUCUGAAGUUAAAGGCUGUGGCUCAACCAUAGUUCGCUUUGGAAACUGUCAAACUUGAGUGCAGAAGGGGAGAGUGGAAUUCCAUGUGUAGCGGUGAAAUGCGUAGAUAUAUGGAGGAACACCGGUGGCGAAAGCGGCUCUCUGGUCUGUAACUGACGCUGAGGCUCGAAAGCGUGGGGAGCGAACAGGAUUAGAUACCCUGGUAGUCCACGCCGUAAAC